rnacentral:rRNA from 1 species
UUAAUCGGAAUUACUGGGCGUAAAGCGUGCGUAGGCGGCUUGGUAAGCCGGUUGUGAAAGCCCCGGGCUCCAACCUGGGAAUGGCAUCCGGAACUGUCAGGCUAGAGUGCAGGAGAGGAAGGUAGAAUUCCCGGUGUAGCGGUGAAAUGCGUAGAGAUCGGGAGGAAUACCAGUGGCGAAGGCGGCUUUCUGGACUGACACUGACGCUGAGGUACGAAAGCGUGGGUAGCAAACAGGAUUAGAUACCCUGGUAGUCCACGCCGUAAACGAUGUCGACUAGCCGUUGGGGUCCUUGAGACCUUUGUGGCGCAGUUAACGCACUAAGUCGACCGCCUGGGGAGUACGGCCGCAAGGUUAAAACUCAAAUGAAUUGACGGGGGCCCGCACAAGCGGUGGAGCAUGUGGUUUAAUUCGAUGCAACGCGAAGAACCUUACCUACCCUUGACAUCGUGCGAACUUGGUAGAGAUACCUUGGUGCCUUCGGGAGCGCACAGACAGGUGCUGCAUGGCUGUCGUCAGCUCGUGUUGUGAAAUGUUGGGUUAAGUCCCGUAACGAGCGCAACCCUUAUCCUUAUUUGCCAGCGAUCCGGUCGGGAACUCUAAGGAGACUGCCGGUGACAAACCGGAGGAAGGUGGGGACGACGUCAAGUCAUCAUGGCCCUUACGGGUAGGGCUACACACGUGCUACAAUGGCCGAUACAAUGGGUCGCAAAGCGGCGACGUGGCGCUAAUCCCAUAAAGUCGGUCUCAGUCCGGAUCGGAGUCUGCAACUCGACUCCGUGAAGUCGGAAUCGCUAGUAAUCGUGCAUCAGAAUGGCACGGUGAAUACGUUCCCGGGCCUUGUACACACCGCCCGUCACACCAUGG